GACGAACGCUGGCGGCGUGGAUUAGGCAUGCAAGUCGAACGGUAUCAUCCUUUCGGGGGUGAGAGAGUGGCGAACUGGUGAGUAACACGUAGGUUAUCUACCCUCAAGACGGGGACAACCCAGGGAAACUUGGGCUAAUACCGGAUGUGAGCAACUUUUAGUUGUUUGAAAGGUGGCGUAAGCUGUCGCUUGGGGAUGAGCCUGCGUCCUAUUAGUUAGUUGGUGAGGUAACGGCUCACCUAGGCAAUGAUAGGUAGGCGGCCUUAACGGGUGGUCGCCCACACUGGGAUUGAGAUACGGCCCAGACUCCUACGGGAGGCAGCAGUCGAGAAUAGUCUACAAUGGUCGGAAGACUGAUAGUGCGACGCCGCGUGAACGAUGAAUCCCUUCGGGGUGUAAAGUUCUUUUAUAUGUGAGCAGUGCUUCUUAUAUUAACAGUAUGGGGAAGAGAUAUUAGCAUAUGAAUAAGCAACGGCUAACUCCGUGCCAGCCAGCCGGGU
rnacentral:rRNA from 1 species